ACAGACUGUAAAAGUAUCCGUUGGGGUAAAUCAUGCUGUGUUUAUUGUACGGAGAGAGAAACUCUUCAGAAAUAACACCAAUACAAGAUAUCAGGUGUUUAAAUAUGGACAUAUUGGUCCCAUAGCAUUCACCAGCAACAUGAACAUGUUCAGGACAAUCAGGAAGGUAGAGGACAUGAGCAUGUUCAGGACAAUCAGGAAAAUAAAGGACAUGAGCAUGUUCAGGACAAUCAGGAAGAUAAAGGACAUGAGCAUGUUCAGGACAAUCAGGAAGGUAGAGGACAUGAACAUGUUCAGGACAAUCAGGAAGGUAGAGGACAUGUUCAGGACAAUCAGGAAGGUAGAGGACAUGAGCAUGUUCAGGACAAUCAGGAAGAUAGGACAUGUUCAGGACAAUCAGGAAGGUAGAGGACAUGAGCAUGUUCAGGACAAUCAGGAAGGUAGAGGACAUGUUCAGGACAAUCAGGAAGGUAGAGGACAUGUUCAGGACAAUCAGGAAGGUAGAGGAGAUGUUCAGGACAAUCAGGAAGGUAGAGGAGAUGUUCAGGACAAUCAGGAAGGGAGAGGACAUGUUCAGGACAAUCAGGAAGGUAGAGGACAUGAACAUGUUCAGGACAAUCAGGAAGGUUGAGGACAUGUUCAGGACAAUCAGGAAGGGAGAGGACAUGUUCAGGACAAUCAGGAAGGUAGAGGACAUGAACAUGUUCAGGACAAUCAGGAAGGGAGAGGACAUGUUCAGGACAAUCAGGAAGGUAGAGGAGAUGUUCAGGACAAUCAGGAAGGUAGAGGACAUGAACAUGUUCAGGACAAUCAGGAAGGUAGAGGACAUGUUCAGGACAAUCAGGAAGGGAGAGGACAUGUUCAGGACAAUCAGGAAGGGAGAGGACAUGUUCAGGACAAUCAGGAAGGUAGAGGCUAGAAACAUUUCAAUCAAACAGCCCAGAAACACAAUAUUACACAUUCAGUGUGAAAGUUAGACAUUGUAUAACAUGUAGAACAUUAAAUAAUAAAUAUAGUGUCAAAGCUUUUUACCCUCUAAACUGGACUUGAUGGGAAUGAAGACAGGAGAUAUGAGGGGGGUGAUACUGAUGGGAGAUAUGGGGGGGGUGAUACUGAUGGGAGAUAUGGGGGGGGGUGAUACUGAUGGGAGAUAUGAGGGGGGGG
rnacentral:lncRNA from 1 species